GUGGAAUGCAGAGGCAAGGAUUUCUUAGGGUGAUAUCUUUUAAUUAUCUUUUCUUAUCACUCUAAUAAAUCCUUGCCUCUUCGACACCAU
rnacentral:pre_miRNA from 1 species